GCUUCGGUCGUCUAGUGGUUAGGACUUGGGAUUCUAACUCCCAAUACGAAGGUUCGAGUCCUUCUCGGAGCU
rfam:Pseudocohnilembus persalinus scaffold1696, whole genome shotgun sequence.